GACGAACGCUGGCGGCGUGCCUAAUACAUGCAAGUCGAACGCUGAAGAGAGGAGCUUGCUCUUCUUGGAUGAGUAGCGAACGGGUGAGUAACGCGUAGGUAACCUGCCUCGUAGCGGGGGAAAACUAUUGGAAACGCUAGCUAAUACCGCAUAACAAUGGAUGACACAAUGCGUUCAUGUGAAAGGGGCAAUUGUGUCGCGAAAAGACGGACCAGCGUUGUGUUAGAUAGUAGGUGAGGUAAUGUCGCACCUAAGCGAGGAUACGUAGCGGACCUGCGAGGGUGAUCGGCCACACUGGGACUGAGACACGGCCCAGACUCCUGCGGGAGGCAGCCGUAGGGAAUCUUCGGCAAUGGGAGCAGUCCGGACCGAGCAACGCCGCGUGCGUGAAUAAGCCUUCCGGAUCGUAAAGCUCUGUUAUACGUCAGGAAUGUGUGUGAGAGUGGAAAGUUCACACUGUGACGGUAGCUUACCAGAAAGGGACGGCUAACUACGUG
rnacentral:rRNA from 1 species